UGGGGAAUAUUGGACAAUGGGCGCAAGCCUGAUCCAGCCAUGCCGCGUGCGGGAAGAAGGCCUUCGGGUUGUAAACCGCUUUUGUCAGGGAAGAAACGCUCUGGGCUAAUACCCUGGGGUAAUGACGGUACCUGAAGAAUAAGCACCGGCUAACUACGUGCCAGCAGCCGCGGUAAUACGUAGGGUGCAAGCGUUAAUCGGAAUUACUGGGCGUAAAGCGUGCGCAGGCGGUUAUGCAAGACAGAUGUGAAAUCCCCGGGCUCAACCUGGGAACUGCAUUUGUGACUGUAUAGCUAGAGUACGGUAGAGGGGGAUGGAAUUCCGCGUGUAGCAGUGAAAUGCGUAGAUAUGUGGAGGAACACCGAUGGCGAAGGCAGCCCCCUGGGUCAAGAUUGACGCUCAUGCACGAAAGCGUGGGGAGCAAACAGGAUUAGAUACCCAAGUAGUCCCUGAGCGGGCUGGCAAGGCGCAU
rnacentral:rRNA from 1 species